CCAGUCAGCUAUAUAGUCUAGAGGGGAGAGGGAUUCGUUUAAUCAAUCCAGUCAAUCAGAUCUUUAGGGAUUACAUUAAAUAAUCCCAGUGUGUCAAUAAAUAAUGUCUAAUCAGUGAUUUUGUUCUUAUCGUGUUAAAUCAGGUCUGAUGUACGAGCAUGAAGUACGUUGAUACACGGAUUGGUGUACUGUUCAGCGUCUGUGAGAUUAAUGAAAGAAGAAACAUGGAAAAACAGGA